rnacentral:rRNA from 1 species
CCUACGGGAGGCAGCAGUGGGGAAUAUUGGACAAUGGGCGCAAGCCUGAUCCAGCCAUGCCGCGUGUGUGAAGAAGGUCUUCGGAUUGUAAAGCACUUUAAGUUGGGAGGAAAGGCAGUAAGCGAAUACCUUGCUAUUUUGACGUUACCGACAGAAUAAGCACCGGCUAACUCUGUGCCAGCAGCCGCGGUAAU